rnacentral:rRNA from 1 species
UUCCCCUUCGGGGGACAAAGUGACAGGUGGUGCAUGGUUGUCGUCAGCUCGUGUCGUGAGAUGUUGGGUUAAGUCCCGCAACGAGCGCAACCCUUAAGCUUAGUUGCCAGCAUUAAGUUGGGCACUCUAAGUUGACUGCCGGUGACAAACCGGAGGAAGGUGGGGAUGACGUCAAAUCAUCAUGCCCCUUAUGAUUUGGGCUACACACGUGCUACAAUGGACGGUACAAAGGGCAGCGAACCCGCGAGGUCAAGCAAAUCCCAUAAAGCCGUUCUCAGUUCGGAUUGUAGUCUGCAACUCGACUACAUGAAGCUGGAAUCGCUAGUAAUCGUAGAUCAGCAUGCUACGGUGAAUACGUUCCCGGGUCUUGUACACACCGCCCGUCACACCACGAGAGUUUGUAACACCCGAAGCCGGUGGAGUAACCUUUUAGGAACUAGCCGUCGAAGGUGGGACAAAUGAUUGGGGUGAAGUCGUAACAAGGUAGCCGUAUCGGAAGGUGCGGCUGGAUCACCUCCUUU